UUCAGAAGGUGGAUGUUCCUUCUAUGUUUACGGGACUUAACAGUUAAUCAUAGAGGAAAAUCCACGUUUUCGC
rfam:Felis catus isolate Cinnamon breed Abyssinian chromosome B3, whole genome shotgun sequence.